GCCGGGGUCGCCUAGCAUGGUCAGGGCGCCGGACUCAUAAUCAUAUGUAUAGGGCGCAGAGGAGAUAUCCGGUUAUCGCGGGUUCAAGUCCCGCCCCCGGCA
rnacentral:tRNA from 1 species